ensembl:lncRNA
AACAACACACUGACAACACCGAAACGUAACAGUUCCCCCCACCCAAAAAUCAAACAUUUAACACCAAGUGAAAAGUUUGAUCCAGACAGACGAAGCCGAUGAAGGCUGGAGCGGUCCCACUGACCCUCCAGCAGACGACGAAGGCUGGGGCGGUCCCACGGACCCUCCCCUCAGCGAAGGCAGACGAAGCUGAUGAAGGCUGGAGCGGUCCCACUGACCCUCCAGCAGACGACGAAGGCUGGAGCGGUCCCUCGGACCCUCCAGCGAAGGCAGA